rnacentral:ncRNA from 1 species
AUAUAAUAAAAGCGCCAGGACUUAAUAUAAUUAAGUUGACGAGGAAUAGAAUAUAUCGAAACAUUCGGCGGAUAUUCUAUAGGGACUGCACUCUAAAGAGAUAAACAAAACUUCUUAGUAAUAAGUAGGACAAAA